AGGAAUGUUGGGGGGGGGGUACAAAAGAAGUGUCACUGACAUCCCAUCUAGAGAGGGAGGGGGGGAGUCAUGUGAUUGUUAAUUACUCAAGCGGUUGAAAUCCACACUGGAUCUACUCCACUUACCCCGUGUCCAAAUUCUUUACCGUCUCAAAUUAAUCCCGAGGUGUCACGCAGAGAUGAAGGGGAUUGGCUGUGUUUGGAAAUCCUUUAUUCGUUUCGUAGUCACUCGCUAGGGAUUUAUUUAUUUUUUGGGGGCAGUGGGGGACAAGGGGAGGAUUGGACCGCCACCGCUCAGUCUGUCUCUCAGUCACUCGUCAGUUUGUCUGUCUGUCUUUUGGUCUCAUGGUUCAUGAAACGACCAUCAGUCAGAUGCUUAGUCUGCCGGUCUAUCUGUCUGUCCACGGGUUGGUCGGUUGGACUGUCUGUCAAUCCGUCCCAUGAUCAGUUCUUCAGUCAGUUGGACAGUCGGUCUGUUGGAUGCUCAAUUGGCCUGUUGUCAUUACGUUAGUCUGUCUGUCCUUAGGUUGAUCGGUUGGUUGGUCUGUCACCUCCUCAGAUGGUCACAUUUUGUCGGCUUGUCUGUCUGUUCUUUGGUUGGCCUGUAAGUCUGUCUGUCUGUCCAUCCAGUGAUUGGUCGGGUGGACUGUCUGUCAAUCCGUCCCAUGAUCAGUUCUUCAGUCAGUUGGACAGUCGGUCUGUUGGAUGCUCAGUUGGCCUGUUGUCAUUAGGUUAGUCUGUCUGUCCUUAGGUUGAUCGGUUGGUUGGUCUGUCACCUCCUCAGAUGGUCACAUUAAGUCGGACUGUCUGUCUGUUUUUUGGUUGGUAUGUCAAUCGUCGGCUGGCCUGUCUUUCCGUCCAGUGAUUGGUCGGGUGGACUAUCAAUCCCUCCGAUCGUCAGUCCAUCGGUUCGUGUUUUUGUCUUUAUUCCGCUUAGUCAGUCCGUCAGUCCGUCUUUCGGGUAACCUGUGAAAUUGAUCUGUCUGUCUCUCCCUCAGUAAAAACAAGCCAGAAAGUGUUUGCUGUUUUAAGCCGCAGCUGUGCGUGGCCGCCAUACAGCUGGACGGCGUCCCGCAGAUUUUCCCACGGGCGUCGUCUCCGUCCCGCCCUCUCGUCUCUCAAGGGCGAUGGUCAGAUUUAAGAGCUUUUGUGAGGCCCAUUCAAAAGACGUGUUUGCAAGAGCAAACAAUUGCUCAUCCUGUGUCUUAAUGGCUUCUCGGGCUGCCCGUUACCUCCGCAGCGCGCCGAUGUCGUCUCCCGAAAAGUGUGUAUGAGGUCAACCGGCCCGAAGGCCUAUUGUUUGUUUGCUAAUAGCGUGGCGGGGUCAAGGCCGCAGAGCUGUCUGUCUGUAGCGGGACAUUCUGCUUUGUUUGUCCGGACGUGAGGACAGCAGAGGGGGGGGAAAUCUGAAGUUUCACGUUCCAAACAAGGACGGCGGGAGCUCACGCCAUCCCUGGAGAGGAAACUGUGCUCUGAUAUUAUUUAUUUAUUUCAUUAUUUUGCUUGAGAAGAAUUUGACAUAAGAAUAUUAAGGCGUGGAAAACAAACUAAUGUGGCCCCUUAAAUUUCUAGGAAACCUUUUGGGUGACAGAAGUAGUGUACUAAAAACAGACAUCCUGUGGUAGCCUCACAAUGAGCCAGAAGUUCUAAUCAAUGGUUGGGAUUUUUCCGUGCCCUCUAAGUAAUUAAAUAAUCAUUAUAAGCCUGGUGUAUCACAAUUAAACAGAUUUCCUGGUCUAGGAAGUAGGAUCCACUCAAUUUCAGUAGCGCUUUCUUUUUGGUGAUAGCUCAUGCGAAGUCUCGAAAUUGUCAGACAAACAAAUUUAGCUUUGGUGAUAGAAGUGGGGUGCUAAAACAGAUUUGCACACCUCAUUGUGAGGCAGUCAUAAUUAAUUCUGUAUCAAUUAAUAUUUAUGAUGAUGAAACAGAAGUCACAUUAAUGAAAUCAGAUUUGCAUCAAAUCUAUUUGAAUUUCUUGGCUUUAGAAGUAGGAUCCAUU